UGGGGAAUCUUGCACAAUGGGCGAAAGCCUGAUGCAGCAACGCCGCGUGAGUGAAGAAGGCCCUUGGGUUGUAAAGCUCUUUCGGCUAGGAAGAAGGGCUUUUUGGUUAACACCCAGAAGGCUUGACGGUACUAGAAGAAGAAGCACCGGCAAAUUUCGUGCCAGCAGCUGCGGUAAUACGGAAGGUGCAAGCGUUGUUCGGAAUGACUGGGCGUAAAGCGCGCGUAGGCGGGUUUGUAUGUCGGAUGUGAAAGCCCUGGGCUUAACCUGGGAACUGCAUUCGAAACUGCAAAUCUUGAAUGUUUGAGAGGUUAGCGGAAUUCCAGGUGUAGGAGUGAAAUCCGUAGAUAUCUGGAGGAACAUCAGAGGCGAAGGCGGCUAACUGGCAAUACAUUGACGCUGAGGUGCGAAAGCGUGGGGAGCAAACAGG
rnacentral:rRNA from 1 species